GUAGAGCAAUUUGGUAGCUCACAAAGCUCAUAAUCUUGGGGUUACGGGUUCGAU
rnacentral:tRNA from 2 species